ensembl:snRNA
GUGUUGCAUGAAAGGAGAGGUUAGUACUCCCCGUGACAAGGAUGGAAGAGGCCUGAGGGCCUGACAACACGCAUAUGGUUAAGGCAUUGCCACCUACUUCAUGGCAUCUAACCACUUUUUUUC